ACAUUCUCAUACGGGAGGUUCAUCCAGGGAAUCUGUCACAACAUUCUCAUACGGGAGGUUCAUCCAGGGAAUCUGUCACAACAUUCUCUUACGGAAGGUUCUUCCAGGGAAUCUGUCACAACAUUCUCUUACGGAAGGUUCUUCCAGGGAAUCUGUCACAACAUUCUCUUACGGAAGGUUCUUCCAGGGAAUCUGUCACAACAUUCUCUUACGGAAGGUUCUUCCAGGGAAUCUGUCACAACAUUCUCUUACGGAAGGUUCUUCCAGGGAAUCUGUCACAACAUUCUCUUACGGAAGGUUCUUCCAGGGAAUCUGUCACAACAUUCUCUUACGGAAGGUUCUUCCAGGGAAUCUGUCACAACAUUCUCUUACGGAAGGUUCUUCCAGGGAAUCUGUCACAACAUUCUCUUA